rnacentral:rRNA from 1 species
GACGAACGCUGGCGGCGUGCUUAACGCAUGCAAGUCGAACGGAAAGGCCCUGCUUUUGUGGGGUGCUCGAGUGGCGAACGGGUGAGUAACACGUGAGUAACCUGCCCUUGACUUUGGGAUAACUUCAGGAAACUGGGGCUAAUACCGGAUAGGAGCUCCUGCUGCAUGGUGGGGGUUGGAAAGUUUCGGCGGUUGGGGAUGGACUCGCGGCUUAUCAGCUUGUUGGUGGGGUAGUGGCUUACCAAGGCUUUGACGGGUAGCCGGCCUGAGAGGGUGACCGGCCACAUUGGGACUGAGAUACGGCCCAGACUCCUACGGGAGGCAGCAGUGGGGAAUAUUGCACAAUGGGCGGAAGCCUGAUGCAGCAACGCCGCGUGCGGGAUGACGGCCUUCGGGUUGUAAACCGCUUUCGCCUGUGACGAAGCGUGAGUGACGGUAAUGGGUAAAGAAGCACCGGCUGACUACGUG